CAUCAUCUCUACGAGAAACGUAAAUCAAUUGAUCUGAAAGAGAUUGGUCCCCGCUUUGAAAUGUUCCUUUUCAAGGUACCACUAUAUUUAACCUUGAAAGGCCUGUUUUAGUGACUCAUCAUUAAUUGAAUUAAUCUCCAUGAAAUUGAUUCAAGAUAUGUAUGUCAUGUCAUGAUUUUGAAGUAGAAAAUUUUGUAGCAUUUUUCAAGAAAUGGAUUUCUCAAUCUCUCUUGAUGUCUUUAUAAUAGGAUAAUAACCUGCGAACCACGCAGAAGAGGGGAAACUACGGUACGUUAUAAAGAGAAAUUGGAUUCUCACCGUAUCCCAACCCGAUACAAAGUGUGAAAAGUAUGAAUGUAUUAUAGCUAGUGGCAACCUAGUUUGUUACCAUCAUCUUGUGAUUUAUGAGUAAAAGGGCCGUUGAAGAAAGCCCUAAAUUUGGGCAAUUGAUAUAGAGGGAUUUUCUAACUAUCAUUGCCACAAUCCUAUAUACCCAAUUUCAUCUGAGAAAAUUGCAGUGUGUGAAGUGUGUGUAAAUGAGUAGUCUCCUAUUUCAAGAAUCUCUUCCAUGCAUGGCUCUCCAUACCAGCCUCCCAUGUCAUUGGAUGGUAUUGAGGUUUCUUCCAUCAUACGAAACCAGUUGAAAUCUUGGACCGUAUUGUUGUUGUUGUCGUCGUCGUUGAGGCACCAGUAGGUCUCAACGAUUGAGUUGGGAUUCGAGUAUGUGACCUCCUCCGUAGCUUGCUUGGGAGCUUCUCCUUCGACCCUUGUAGGCUCGUCGUGGAGCAGCUCCCAUAGCGCAUUGGCCUCGAACUCCGCCACUUCAAGCUCUUCAAACUCAUCUUUGGUUGUGAGUGAAGGUAGAGAUGAAGGAGAUGGGCUAGUGUCCAUCUUCUUUAUUACCUAAAAUUUUCUUAGAGAGAGAGAGAGAUGAAGUGAGAGAGCAAGAGCAAGAGGAAGCCAUAUAUAUAGGCAAACAAUGUGUUGAAU
rnacentral:lncRNA from 1 species